rnacentral:sRNA from 1 species
GCGCCAGCCGCAGCAUCCCUACGGCCCUACUCCCCAAGAGGCCAUUCCCAAGAGAGCUCAUGCUGUGGGGCCUUGAACAAGCCCGUUCGCUGGCACCUGACGAUUCUCGGCUUGCCGCCGCGUCGCGCGCGGCGGCAGGCGUGGUUU